CCUACGGGUGGCAGCAGUAGGGAAUAUUGCUCAAUGGGGGAAACCCUGAUGCAGCAACGCCGCGUGGAGGAUGAAGGUUUUCGGAUUGUAAACUCCUUUUGUCAGAGAAGAUAAUGACGGUAUCUAACGAAUAAGCACCGGCUAACUCCGUGCCAGCAGCCGCGGUAAUACGGAGGGUGCAAGCGUUACCCGGAAUCACUGGGCGUAAAGAGCGCGUAGGCGGGAGAGCAAGUCAGAUGUGAAAGCCGAGGGCUCAACCAACGAACUGCAUUGGAAACUGUACUGCUGGAGUGUGGGAGAGGUAAGUGGAAUUCUUGGUGUAGGGGUAAAAUGCGUAGAUAUCAGGAGGAAUACUCGUUGCGAAGGCGACCUGCUGGAACGUAACUGACGCUGAUGCGCGAAAGCGUGGGGAGCAAACAGGAUUAGAUACCCCAGUAGUC
rnacentral:rRNA from 1 species